UACGUAGGCAGCGAGCGUUGUUCGGAAUUACUGGGCGUAAAGAGUGUGUAGGCGGUGCUCUAAGUUCGGUGUGAAAUCUCCUGGCUUAACUGGGAGGGUGCGCCGGAAACUGGAGUGCUCGAACGUGGGAGAGGAAAGCGGAAUUCCUGGUGUAGCGGUGAAAUGCGCAGAUAUCAGGAGGAACACCGGUGGCGAAGGCGGAUCUCUGGGCCAUUACUGACGCUGAGGAGCGAAAGCGUGGGGAGCGAACAGG
rnacentral:rRNA from 1 species